rnacentral:rRNA from 1 species
UACGUAGGGUGCGAGCGUUAAUCGGAAUUACUGGGCGUAAAGCGUGCGCAGGCGGUUUUGUAAGCCAGAUGUGAAAGCCCCGGGCUUAACCUGGGAAUGGCAUUUGGGACUGCAAGGCUUGAGUGCGGCAGAGGAGACUGGAAUUCCUGGUGUAGCAGUGAAAUGCGUAGAUAUCAGGAGGAAUACCGAUGGCGAAGGCAGGUCUCUGGGCUGACAUUGACGCUCAUGCACGAAAGCGUGGGGAGCAAACAGG